GGGGCAAUGGCGGCGCUUCCGGUGGGCGGCGGAAGUGCGCGCGUUCGGCACAACGAACUACAAGUCCCAGAAGACCGCGGGCCGGCGGCGGUUUCUCCCGCCAGCGGCGUCGAGGGUCGAGUGUCUUGCUGCCGCCGCCAGCCCGAGGCCGGGUGUCACGAGACGGCGGCUCGCGUGCUGGUCUCGAGCGUCGCUCCUUCGGCUCUUCUCCUGGGUGCGCCUCUCCCCGUGGCCCCAGGUCUCCUCGUUUGGGGCUGAGGCCGCGACGCCAGAGCGGACGCCUGCGGCCGACGUCGAGCGCGGGGUUCGCGUCCGGGCGGCGCUGCGCCUCCGGCGUCUCCGCCUCGUGGUCCUCCGACGCCUGCCCGCGGAGGAGGGUGCGGCGCGCGGGGGGCGGCGGGAGUGAGCGCUCCGAGCCCGGCGUCGUCCUGGGUCUCGGCCGCCGCGGAGAGGGAGGUCUGGUGGCGCCCGAGAGAGCGUGAGAGACGGAGGCCGGGCGGCUGGAAGCGAGGCUCCCCGGUGGCGGCCGAGGGUGCGCCGUUGGCUCUCUCCGGCCUGCCCUCCGUGCGACAGCGGCAGGCACAGGCCAGCCGGCGGGCCGGGCGGGGCCGCAGGGUGUGGGCCGCAGAGUCGCCUUGCGUCUGCUCGGCCGUCGCUUGCGGGCUCAGUGUCGCCGCCUGGGCUCGGGGGCGGAGACCCGCCGCCGCUGCCCGCCCGGCUGUUCGCGGAGGGCUCCCGCGGAGCCGCCCUGGCCGCGCUCGCACCUCGGGCCCCAGCGUCGCCUUCCGUGCCUGUGGCCGGCCUGCCUGGCGCGGACGCCCCCGGGGCGGGCGCUCCGCACCUGCUGACGCGGUUUUAGUCCUCCCGGAGUCUGCAGUCCGACUUGGAAGGGAGAGGCUCAGGGAGCGGCGUUGACUCAGGCGAGGGCAUUGUGGCCAAGGAGGGAUGGCGCGUCUGCGGUUUUCCUCUCUCCAAAGUGGACGCGGGACGCUAGUGUGCCCUUUUGUUGGCUCUGGACGGCGUCGUCUGCGUGGGGUGUCGAACAGUACGCGGUGCCGGCACCGCGGGGCGAAGUCGGCGCUGAGAACGGCAGAGCUGAAAGGUGGAAAGGACCAGGGUCAGUGUUGGGAUCCUCCUUGAGUCGCUGAAUCCGCUCUGGAACUUUUCCUUCGGAGGUCUACUUGGUUGUCCUUGGUAGCGAGUGACAGAAACUGACUGUGACCCAUUUGAGCAGAACAGCUGGAAGCGGUUCAGGCCAGGAUGAGCUGGAGAAGGAGGCAUGGAAAGGGACUGGAAUCAAGGGAAGUGGUGGCAGAGACCUCCUAGCCAGAUGCCUUCCUUGGCCUUGCUGUCGCAGACAUGCGUCCAAACUCUGGAUCUGGUAUUUCUGGAACUUUCUGUAGUAGGCAGAAUGAUGCUCUCCUCAAAGAUAUCCUGGGGCUGGCCUGGUGUUAUAGUGGUUAAGUUUGUGCACUCCACUUUGGCGGCCUGGGAUUUGCACGUUCAGAUUCUGGGUGCAGACUUAGCAUCACUCAUCAAGCCAUGCUGUCGCAGCAUCCCACAUAAAAUAGAGGAAGAUUUGCACAGAUGUUAGCUCAGUGACAAUCUUCCACACACAAAAAAAGAAAAAAGAUAUCCAUGUCCUAACCCCUGGAACUUGUGAAAAUGUUACCUUAUGUGGCAAAAGGGACUUGGCAGAUGUGAUCAAACUGAGGAUCUUAAGAUGGGGAGAUUAUCCUGGUGAGCCCAGUAUAGUCACAGGGCACCUUAUUAGUGAAAGGAGGCAGGAGAAUGAGAGGGAAAGGCCAAUGGGACAAUGUAACCACCCCCUAGCUCUUUAGGUUAGGGGAAAGUUGAUAAAGUGAGUGGGGGUUGGUAUAAACCAUCCCACAACAGACCACCUGCUAUGGACUGAAUGCUUGUGUCCCCCCAAAAUUCAUAUGUGAAAACCCUACCCCCCAGUAUGGCGAUAGUAUUAGGACAUUAAGGCUCUGGGAGUUAAUCAGAAUUAGAUGAGGUCAGCGGCUGGCCCAGUGGCAUACUGGUUAAGUUUGCUCAUUUUGCUUUGGUGGCUCAGGGUUCAUGGGUUCAGAUCCCGAGUGUGACCUAACACACCGCUCAUCAAGCCAUGCUGUGGUGGUGUCCCACAUAUGAAACAGAGGAAGACUGCCACAGAUGUUAGGGCUAAUCUUCCUCACCAAAAGAAAAAAAAAAAAAAAGAAUUGGAUGAGGUCAUGAGGGUGGAGCCCUCAUGAAUGGAAUUAGUUCCCUUAUAAGAGUCACUGGAGAGCUUGCUUUUCUCCCUCCUUCCACCAGAUGAGGAAACAAACCUGCAGCCCAGAAGAGAGCUCUCACCAGAACCUGACCACGCUGUCACUCCGAUCUCAGACUUCCAGCAUCCAGAACUGUGUGAAAUAAAUUUCUGUUGUUUAUAA
ensembl:lncRNA